rnacentral:rRNA from 1 species
CAAAGUAAUCGUUCCCUUGUCCCAUCCCACUUGUACGGGGGAGUUGUAAAAGAAAGGAUCAUUAAUUUGGUUCUCUCCUUAUAGCUCUCCAAAGAGAGGGUAAGAUGUUACAAGAACGAUCUUUGCCUUAUAACAUACCCUUCUUUUAAAAAUGUUUAUGAACGUCAAACAAUGUAGGCUCGCCUUAAAAACGUGUAGCUGAAAUUAUAAAAUUAUACAACUUUUAACAACGGAUCUCUUGGCUCUCGCAUCGAUGAAGAACGCAGCGAAAUGCGAUAAGUAAUGUGAAUUGCAGAAUUCAGUGAAUCAUCGAAUCUUUGAACGCACCUUGCGCUCCCUGGUAUUCCGGGGAGCAUGCCUGUUUGAGUGUCAUUAAAUUCUCAACCUCGAACCGUUUGUUUACAGACUUUACGAGGCUUGGACUUUGGAGUGUGCCGGUCUCUAACGGGAUCGACUCCUCUUUAAAUGCAUUAGCUGGAACCUCCUGUGGACCAGACUACGGUGUGAUAAU